CCUACGGGAGGCAGCAGUGGGGAAUAUUGGGCAAUGGGCGCAAGCCUGACCCAGCAACGCCGCGUGAAGGAAGAAGGCCCUCGGGUUGUAAACUUUUUUUGUCAGGGACGCAGAAAGUGACGGUACCUGACGAAUACGCCUCGGCUAACUACGUGCCAUCAGCAGCGGUAAUACGUAGGGGGCAAUCGUUAUCCGGAUUUACUGGGUGUAAAGGGCGAGUAGGCGGGACUGGGAGUCAGAUGUGAAAUUCCAGGGCACAACCCUGGAACUGCAUUUGAACCUGUAGUUCGUGAGUGGUGGAGAGGCAGGCGGAAUUCGGUGUGUAGCGGUGAAAUGCGUAGAUAUACGGAGGAACACCAGUGGCGAAGGCGGCCUGCUGGACAUUAACUGACGCUGAGGCGCGAAAGCGUGGGGAGCGAACAGGAUUAGAUACCCGAGUAGUC
rnacentral:rRNA from 1 species